AGUCAGUAGCUGGUCUGAGAGGACGACCAGCCACACUGGGACUGAGACACGGCCCAGACUCCUACGGGAGGCAGCAGUGGGGAAUUUUUCGCAAUGGGGGCAACCCUGACGUAAGCAAUGGCCGCGUGGAUGAAGAAGGCCUUCGGGUUGUAAAGUCCUUUCGUGGGGACGAAAAGGUGGUUCCUAAUACGAGCUGCUGUUGACGUGAACCCAAG
rnacentral:rRNA from 1 species